GCGCCGCGGCGCUCGGGGGCGCUGCGGCGCUCGGGGCGCUGCGGCGCUCGGGGGCGCUGCGGCGCUCGGGGGCGCUGCGGCGCUC
rnacentral:tRNA from 1 species